rnacentral:rRNA from 1 species
CAUAGGUUAAUGAGGCGAACCGGGGGAACUGAAACAUCUAAGUACCCCGAGGAAAAGAAAUCAACCGAGAUUCCCCCAGUAGCGGCGAGCGAACGGGGAGCAGCCCAGAGCCUGAAUCAGUGUGUGUGUUAGUGGAAGCGUCUGGAAAGGCGCGCGAUACAGGGUGACAGCCCCGUACACAAAAAUGCACAUACUGUGAGCUCGAUGAGUAGGGCGGGACACGUGGUAUCCUGUCUGAAUAUGGGGGGACCAUCCUCCAAGGCUAAAUACUCCUGACUGACCGAUAGUGAACCAGUACCGUGAGGGAAAGGCGAAAAGAACCCCGGCGAGGGGAGUGAAAAAGAACCUGAAACCGUGUACGUACAAGCAGUGGGAGCACGCUUAGGCGUGUGACUGCGUACCUUUUGUAUAAUGGGUCAGCGACUUAUAUUCUGUAGCAAGGUUAACCGAAUAGGGGAGCCGAAGGGAAACCGAGUCUUAACUGGGCGUUAAGUUGCAGGGUAUAGACCCGAAACCCGGUGAUCUAGCCAUGGGCAGGUUGAAGGUUGGGUAACACUAACUGGAGGACCGAACCGACUAAUGUUGAAAAAUUAGCGGAUGACUUGUGGCUGGGGGUGAAAGGCCAAUCAAACCGGGAGAUAGCUGGUUCUCCCCGAAAGCUAUUUAGGUAGCGCCUCGUGAAUUCAUCUCCGGGGGUAGAGCACUGUUUCGGCAAGGGGGUCAUCCCGACUUACCAACCCGAUGCAAACUGCGAAUACCGGAGAAUGUUAUCACGGGAGACACACGGCGGGUGCUAA